AGCGAACGCUGGCGGCAGGCCUAACACAUGCAAGUCGAACGGACCCUUCGGGGUUAGUGGCGGACGGGUGAGUAACACGUGGGAACGUGCCUUUAGGUUCGGAAUAGCUCCUGGAAACGGGUGGUAAUGCCGAAUGUGCCCUUCGGGGGAAAGAUUUAUCGCCUUUAGAGCGGCCCGCGUCUGAUUAGCUAGUUGGUGAGGUAACGGCUCACCAAGGCGACGAUCAGUAGCUGGUCUGAGAGGAUGACCAGCCACACUGGGACUGAGACACGGCCCAGACUCCUACGGGAGGCAGCAGUGGGGAAUCUUGCGCAAUGGGCGAAAGCCUGACGCAGCCAUGCCGCGUGAAUGAUGAAGGUCUUAGGAUUGUAAAAUUCUUUCACCGGGGACGAUAAUGACGGUACCCGGAGAAGAAGCACCGGCUAACUACGUGCCAGCAGCCGCCGUAG
rnacentral:rRNA from 1 species